UACACAUACAGUACAUACAUUGGCUUUUUAAGUCAGUAAGCAAUAUUUAUUUACUUAUUUAGUUUAUACUAUUGGAGAUCACAAGAACAUUGGUUUAUGCAUUUGUAUCAGCCCCUCGAAGUCUACAGCAUCUGGUGACACCUGCCAGAGACAUCACUGCACUGUGAUUGGGUGUUAAAAACCCUAGCUUCAGUUGUUUGUAUGUAGGCUGUAGUGGUAGCUCUGCAAAGCUCACGAGGAAUUCAUCAUUCUAAACAAUGGCUUUCUUUUUGCUACUAGUUUUAAUUGCAUUCAUUGGUGCGAGUAUACAAGACAGCAUUACCCCAACAUCUCCUGUAGUCAUUGCAAAGGUCAAUGAAAAAGUGACGAUCUCUUGUACAUACAAGUACACUGUGUCUAUGAAUAAUCUGCAGUGGUAUCGACAUUACCUCGAUUCUAGCCCGGAAUUUCUUGUUCUAAUCAUGGAGUCAGGACAAAAUCAGACGGCUAAACCUCCUCAUCCUCGGCUGAAAGCUUCAGUUAAUAAAGAUGACAAGACGGUGAAUCUGGAAAUCUUUCCUGCAGAUGUGAAGGACUCAGCAGCGUAUUACUGCGCACUGCAGCCCACAGUGGCAGGAAACACAUGAACACCAUACAAAAACCCACUCAGAGCUAAACGGAGAACAGAAUGGUUUAGAGCAACCUGUCAGACCAGAGAGUGUGCACAGAUGCCACAAGGGGGCAGCACGUUUUAUGAUGCUUAACAUCAGGAGCAUGUGUACAAAGUUGACAUGUGACAAGUAAAAGGAUGUGACUUUAAAAGAUUGUGAACAGUAUACACAGCCGAUCAGUAAAUUCAGGAUGAAGAGAUCAGUAGUACUAAUUAUAUUACUAAUAGCUGCAUCAGUUUCUCUUGGUGAUCGAAUGGAACCAAAUCAAGUUGUUAUUAUUCAAGAUGAAGCCAGUCGUGUGACACUGAGCUGUUCAUAUGAAACAAGCAGUGAAGACAUCGAUCUUUACUGGUACAGACAGUAUCCUAACAGUGAGCCACAGUAUAUACUGUGGAAAGGUGCACGAUCAAGAGAUGACAGGAGUCAUAUACCAGAUGCUCGUUUUGAAUCUUCAACAUCCAGAACAUCCACUGAACUGAUUAUUAAAUCAGCCACUCUGAAAGAUUCAGCUCUCUAUUACUGCGCUCUGUGGAAAUACACAGUGAUACAAAGUUUCUGA
rnacentral:lncRNA from 1 species